GCUUGCUCCCAUGAGAGUGGCGCACGGGUGAGUAACGCGUAUGCAACCUACCUCUAACUGAGGGAUAGCCCAUAGAAAUGUGGAUUAAUACCUCAUAGUUCUUUUGGCCCGCAUGGGUUGAAAGAUAAAGCUCCGGCGGUUAAAGAUGGGCAUGCGUGACAUUAGCUAGUUGGUAAGGUAACGGCUUACCAAGGCUACGAUGUCUAGGGGUUCUGAGAGGAUGAUCCCCCACACUGGUACUGAGACACGGACCAGACUCCUACGGGAGGCAGCAGUGAGGAAUAUUGGUCAAUGGGCGCAAGCCUGAACCAGCCAUCCCGCGUGCAGGAUGAAGGCCCUAUGGGUCGUAAACUGCUUUUAUACACCAAGAAAAACACCCACGUGUGGGUGCCCGACGGUAGUGUAUGAAUAAGCAUCGGCUAACUCCGUGCCAGCAGCCGCGGUAAUACGGAGGAUGCAAGCGUUAUCCGGAUUCAUUGGGUUAAAGGGUGCGUAGGCGGCUUUUUAAGUCAGUGGUGAAAUCUUGCCGCUUAACGGUAAAAUUGCCAUUGAUACUGAAGAGCUUGAGUACAGUUGAGGUAAGCGGAAUGUGUAGUGUAGUGGUGAAAUGCUUAGAUAUUACACAGAACACCGAUUGCGAAGGCAGCUUACUAAGCUGUUACUGACGCUGAUGCACGAAAGCGUGGGGAGCGAACAGGAUUAGAUACCCUGGUAGUCCACGCCGUAAACGAUGAUCACUCGCUGUAUGCGAUACACAGUAUGCGGCCAAGCGAAAGCAUUAAGUGAUCCACCUGGGGAGUACGAUCGCAAGGUUGAAACUCAAAGGAAUUGACGGGGGCCCGCACAAGCGGAGGAACAUGUGGUUUAAUUCGAUGAUACGCGAGGAACCUUACCUGGGCUUAAAUGGGGAACGACAGCUGCCGAAAGGUGGCCUUCUUCGGACGUUCUUCAAGGUGCUGCAUGGUUGUCGUCAGCUCGUGCCGUGAGGUGUCGGGUUAAGUCCCAUAACGAG
rnacentral:rRNA from 1 species